AUGCUGCAAACAGUCAAAUCUGAACCUUGUCGCUCUUCUUUCCUCGUGGGCAGGAAGCACACCAGCAGCGUGCGUUGCGUGAUUCCACUGUGUUUUUUGCACUUGAAUGGGUGGACAGUUGACCGGAAGAUAACUUCGAUUCACCCGGCCAGCAGGCGGGCGGCGUGCUUAUCUUGUGUGACAACACUACAGAGCGAGUAG
rnacentral:rRNA from 1 species